UUAAUUUCUUAAGGUGACAUGCGGUGACUCGAAUAUCGGAACGAAUAUGACGGAGCGUUCUACACAGACUCCUUGAAGUGCUACACACAGUGUUACCCGCUUCUGAAAGACCAGCUGUGUUAAUCUGGAACUUUGGAUGUGAAAGUGAACAGCCAGCAGCCCUGCAUGGACUACUGCAAAGAGGCCAAGGCUAUCAUCAUGAAACGGAGCAAGAAGGACAUUAUGUCCUUUUUCUUUUUUCUUUCUAUUUUUCCUCCUGGCUGUAUAUAAACAAAGAGUGAGAUGAUGAGUGUGAUUUAGAUAAAGACGGUGUGAUUGUACAGUUAAGUCUCAUGCUGUGAUAAGAAGUCUGUAUGUAGCUAAAUGCUUGGAUUAAAAGAGUUUUAUGCAAAUUUA